rnacentral:rRNA from 1 species
UCGAGAAUCUUCCGCAAUGGGCGAAAGCCUGACGGAGCGACACCGCGUGCAGGACGAAGGCCUUCGGGUUGUAAACUGCUGUCACGCCAUAGGAAACCCGUAUCGUGAAUAGCGAUCCGGUCGACCAAAGCGAGAGGAAGUGGCGGCUAACUCUGUGCCAGCAGCCGCGGUAAGACAGAGGCCACGAACGUUGUUCGGAAUUACUGGGCGUAAAGCGUGCGCAGGCGGUUGUGUAAGUCAGAUGUGAAAUCCCCGGGCUCAACCUGGGAAUUGCAUUUGAGACUGCACGGCUAGAGUGUGUCAGAGGGGGGUAGAAUUCCACGUGUAGCAGUGAAAUGCGUAGAUAUGUGGAGGAAUACCGAUGGCGAAGGCAGCCCCCUGGGAUAACACUGACGCUCAUGCACGAAAGCGUGGGGAGCAAACAGGAUUAGAUACCCCUGUAGUCCCUGAGCGGGCUGGCAAGGCGCAU